rnacentral:rRNA from 1 species
GAUGAACGCUGGCGGCGUGCCUAAUACAUGCAAGUCGAGCGAACGGACGAGAAGCUUGCUUUUCUGAUGUUAGCGGCGGACGGGUGAGUAACACGUGGAUAACCUACCUAUAAGACUGGGAUAACUUCGGGAAACCGGAGCUAAUACCGGAUAAUAUUUUGAACCGCAUAGUUCAAAAGUGAAAGACGGUCUUGCUGUCACUUAUAGAUGGAUCCGCGCUGCAUUAGCUAGUUGGUAAGGUAACGGCUUACCAAGGCAACGAUGCAUAGCCGACCUGAGAGGGUGAUCGGCCACACUGGAACUGAGACACGGUCCAGACUCCUACGGGAGGCAGCAGUAGGGAAUCUUCCGCAAUGGGCGAAAGCCUGACGGAGCAACGCCGCGUGAGUGAUGAAGGUCUUCGGAUCGUAAAACUCUGUUAUUAGGGAAGAACAUAUGUGUAAGUAACUGUGCACAUCUUGACGGUACCUAAUCAGAAAGCCACGGCUAACUACGUG